GACGAACGCUGGCGGCGUGCUUAACACAUGCAAGUCGAACGGUGAAGCGCCUUCCUUUUUGGUGGGUGUGGAUGAGUGGCGAACGGGUGAGUAACACGUGAGUAACCUGCCCCCUUCUUCUGGAUAACCGCAUGAAAGUGUGGCUAAUACGGGAUAUUCUGGGUCUGUCGCAUGAUGGGUCUGGGAAAGAUAUUGUUUCGGUGGGGGAUGGGCUCGCGGCCUAUCAGCUUGUUGGUGGGGUGAUGGCCUACCAAGGCGGUGACGGGUAGCCGGCCUGAGAGGAUGGACGGUCACACUGGUACUGAGACACGGCCCAGACUCCUACGGGAGGCAGCAGUGAGGAAUAUUGCACGAUGGGCGCAAGGCUGAUGCAGCGACGCCGCGGGAGGGAUGGAGGCCUGCGGGUUGUGAACCUCUUUCGCCAGUGAAGCAGGCCUGCCUCGUUUGUGGGUGGGUUGACGGUAGCUGGAUAAGAAGCGCCGGCUAACUACGUG
rnacentral:rRNA from 1 species